UGUUAGUGCACAGAGCAAACUGCUCGCUUUAGUUGUGGAGCAAAAACGCUGAAUUCGGUGAAAUAAACCGUGCGAGUGGAACGAUAACGACGACAAGGGUCUCCCGAUCGUUUACUCUUGCUGUCCUGUGAACAACAACGGCGUGGUGUUACUUGUUUGCUGUUUUCGCGAUCGCGUCGCGCAUGAGGAUAUCACCAGCUCCAACAAAAUGAGGAAGAGGAGGGGCAGAAACACAAUUAGGUUGAAUUAAAAUUGGAUGGAAGGCGAGGACAAGGAGAAGGAAGCUUAGGAUGAGGAGGAAGAGAAGCAGCAGGAGCAUCUUUAGGGAUCCCUAUGAUGUCAUUGAGAGGCAGCGGCGAGAGGGGAGACCUCGGCUCAUCCAGCUGGAGAGCCUGACCAGGAGGAGUCGAACAUUAACUCAGCUCUUCCAGGGCACCCUGCAGACUCGGCUGCUGGCAUCGGCGAGGGAUGACGUGAACGCCAAACUGGAGUCCAUCACAGGUCAACUGCAGCUCCUUGUCUCAGAGUGGGAGGGAUUUGAAGCACAAAGGGAGGAGCUUGUCGUUUGGUUGGCUGAUAUGGAUGUCCGCCUGAGAGGUUGACCAGCUGACAGGAAACACCAGUGAAAAACUGAAACAACUGCAGGUGUGGGCUUGUUUUGAUAUGACAUAUGUUUGAUAUGAAACAUACGUCAGAGACAUUGUCCUUAACUGGACUAACAAAGGACCAUGAGUACAACAUGAAAAGUACAUUACAUGGUGUAAUGCUAAAGUUCAUUGAUCAUUUUAAUCAUAAACUUGUUGAAAUAUUUUUACUGAACAUGCAAACAUCUGCUGAUGAAAAUGUGUUGAUUUAUUGGUCUGUUAUGAAGCUAUUGCUAUUUCUAAUGUGU
ensembl:lncRNA